CAAAAUCUAUUAAUAUCUAAACGCGUUUCGCCUUAACAGGCUUCUUGAAGAAGCCUGUUAAGGCGAAACGCGUUUAGAUAUUAAUA